rfam:Bordetella ansorpii strain H050680373 genome assembly, contig: ERS1093620SCcontig000010
CGCUUUUUUCGCGCAGGCGGAGCUCGACCGCAAGCUGAGUCGUAAACACCUACAUCGACCGGCACCGGGUGUCUACGGGGUCGAGGCGAUCUGCAAGGUGUUGCAGGUUGCCUCG